GACAAGGAAGGGGAGUAUUCCAAAGAAAAAGGAGGCUACAAGCAAGCUCUCGACUCUGUUUAGGAAGAAAAGGAAGAGCCGAGCUGAAGCAUUGGCCCUGCGGGGGGUGGGGGUGGGGCUCAUUUUGUGAACUGGAAUUUAAGAACUAAAACUAGUCCCCCUAACGUGUUUCUGUUUACCCAUCAGAAAUCAAUCUCUGAUUGGAGCAGGUACUUUUUCCUCCGUAAAACAGGCCAAAGAGGAAACGGAACUGUCUUAGUACUAAAAUAAUCUGUAAUUUAAUUGAUGUUGCAUGUUAGGCUUAUUGAAGACACCACUAUGAGAAGAUUCUGUGCUUUGUUUUCUGACACUGAAAACUGCAGGGUGGGGGCGAGAAAAAUCCCCCCACGACUUCACACAGGUUAUAGGAGGAAAACUAAUAGUCGAGAAGGAGGGAUUUCAGUGGAUUCUUUCAAGAAUAAACAUGUCUUACUCAGAUCUUGAAGCCUGUGACUAUCGAGUACAUCUAAGUACAUCGAGUUCCUUCUGUUGGUUGAAGCUAGGUUUGCUGCGUCUUGAGUCCAGAUGGAACAAUGACACUAAGACAAAGCCUUAAGCAAUUUUGUUUGCUAAUAAGAUGUCAGACCACUAAUGAAAGGGCAGCUUGCUUUGGCUUAGGAGAGCAAGCUUCCCAUAGAAAGCAGCUCCUAAGUGUGAAAGAGCAAUAUUUGAUUCCCUUCCUCCCUAGUGGUAAAAAAGAUGUUUUUGAGUGGCUAGCAGAGAGGAAGAGAAGGCUAGCCGUCUACUGAUAAGAUAGGAUC
rnacentral:lncRNA from 1 species